GACGAACGCUGGCGGCGUGCUUAACACAUGCAAGUCGAGCGGUAAGGCCCUUCGGGUACGACGAGCGGCGAACGGGUGAGUAACACGUGGGUGACCUGCCCUUACGCUCUGGGAUAAGCCUGGGAAACGUGGGUCUAAUACCGGAUAUGACCUCAUGACGCAUGUUGUGGGGUGGAAAGCCUUGUGCGGCUAGGGAUGGGCCCGCGGCCUAUCAGCUUGUUGGGUGGGGUGAUGGCCAUCAAGGCGACGACGGGUAGCCGGCCUGAGAGGGCGACCGGCCACACUGGGACUGAGACACGGCCCAGACUCCUACGGGAGGCAGCAGUGGGGAAUCUUGCGCAAUGGGCGAAAGCCUGACGCAGCGACGCCGCGUGAGGGAUGACGGCCUGGUGUAAC
rnacentral:rRNA from 1 species